rnacentral:tRNA from 1 species
ACUAUUUUGGCAGAAAAGUGCGAUGAAUUUAGAAUUCAUUAAUGUAAGUUAUUUUCUUACAAUUAGUA